rnacentral:rRNA from 1 species
UCUCAUGCCCUUUAUGUUUUGGGCUACACACGUGCUACAAUGGCAGGUACAGAGGGAAGCGAGACUGCGAAGUUAAGCAAAACUCAAAAAGCCUGUCCCAGUUCGGAUUGCACUCUGCUACUCGAGUGCAUUAAGUUGGAGUUGCUAGUAAUCGCAGAUCAGAAUGCUGCGGUGAAUGCCGUUCCCGGGUCUUGUACACACCGCCGUCACACCAUGGAAGUUGGCAACACCCGAAGCCUGUGAGCUAACCUUUUAGGGAGCAGCAGUCGAAGGUAAGGGUCAGUAACUGGGGUGAAGUCGUAACAAGGUAGCCGUAUCGGAA